UGAACGCUGGCGGUAUGCUUAACACAUGCAAGUCGAACGGAAACGAUACUAGCUUGCUAGUAGGCGUCGAGUGGCGGACGGGUGAGUAACGCGUAGGAAUCUGCCUGAUAGUGGGGGAUAGCCCGAAGAAAUUCGGAUUAAUACCGCAUAAUCUAUUCGUAGUAAAGUGGGGGACUUUCGAGCCUCACGCUAUCAGAUGAGCCUGCGUAAGAUUAGCUUGUUGGUAGGGUAAAAGCCUACCAAGGCGACGAUCUUUAGCUGGUCUGAGAGGAUGAUCAGCCACAUCGGGACUGAGACACGGCCCGAACUCCUACGGGAGGCAGCAGUGGGGAAUAUUGGACAAUGGGGGCAACCCUGAUCCAGCAAUACCGCGUGUGUGAAGAAGGCCUGAGGGUUGUAAAGCACUUUCAAUUGUGAAGAAAAGUUAGCGGUUAAUAACCGUUAGCCUUGACGUUAACUUUAGAAGAAGCACCGGCUAACUCCGUGCCAGCAGCCGCGGUAAUACGGAGGGUGCAAGCGUUAAUCGGAAUUACUGGGCGUAAAGCGUGCGUAGGCGGUUUAUUAAGUCAGAUGUGAAAGCCCCGGGCUUAACCUGGGAACUGCAUUUGAAACUGGUCAACUAGAGUAUGGUAGAGGAAAGUGGAAUUUCUGGUGUAGCGGUGAAAUGCGUAGAUAUCAGAAGGAACAUCAAUGGCGAAGGCAGCUUUCUGGACCAAUACUGACGCUGAGGUACGAAAGCGUGGGUAGCAAACAGGAUUAGAUACCCUGGUAGUCCACGCCGUAAACGAUGAUAACUAGCCGUUGGGGGGAUUUACCCUUUAGUGGCGAAGCUAACGCGUUAAGUUAUCCGCCUGGGGAGUACGGCCGCAAGGUUAAAACUCAAAGGAAUUGACGGGGACCCGCACAAGCGGUGGAGCAUGUGGUUUAAUUCGAUGCAACGCGAAGAACCUUACCUGGUCUUGACAUCCUGCGAACUUUCUAGAAAUAGAUUGGUGCCUUCGGGAACGCAGUGACAGGUGCUGCAUGGCUGUCGUCAGCUCGUGUCGUGAGAUGUUGGGUUAAGUCCCGUAACGAGCGCAACCCCUAUCCUUAUUUGCCAGCACAUCAUGGUGGGAACUAUAAGGAGACUGCCGGUGAUAAACCGGAGGAAGGCGGGGACGACGUCAAGUCAUCAUGGCCCUUACGACCAGGGCUACACACGUGCUACAAUGGGAAGGACAAAGAGCCGCGAAGCCGCGAGGUGUAGCUAAUCUCAUAAACCUUUUCGUAGUCCGGAUUGGAGUCUGCAACUCGACUCCAUGAAGUCGGAAUCGCUAGUAAUCGUAGAUCAGAAUGCUACGGUGAAUACGUUCCCGGGUCUUGUACACACCGCC
rnacentral:rRNA from 1 species